AGUAAGACAGACGAUCGCGGCUCAAUUUUGAGGUGAGGAAAGUCCGAGCAUCGCAGGGCAGGGUGCCGGGUAACGCCCGGUGAAGGCGACUUCAAGGAUAGUGCAACAGAGAUAUACCGCCCGAUUUUUCGGGUAAGGAUGGAAAGGCGAGGUAAGAGCUCACCAACGGCAUGGCGACUUGUCCGUUCUGUAAACCCCACCCGGUGCAAGAUUGGAAUGGGAGCAUGUAAUAGCGGCCCGCUACGCUCCUGAUAAUCGCUUGAGCGCUCCGGCAACGGUGCGCGUAGAUAGAUGAUCGUCCUUAGACAGAACUCGGCUUACGGCUUG
rnacentral:RNase_P_RNA from 1 species